GAUGAACGCUGGCGGCGUGCCUAAUACAUGCAAGUCGAGCGAACGGACGAGAAGCUUGCUUCUCUGAUGUUAGCGGCGGACGGGUGAGUAACACGUGGAUAACCUACCUAUAAGACUGGGAUAACUUCGGGAAACCGGAGAUAAUACCGGAUAAUAUUUUGAACCGCUUGGUUCAAAAGUGAAAGACGGUCUUGCUGUCACUUAUAGAUGGAUCCGCGCUGCAUUAGCUAGUUGGUAAGGUAACGGCUUACCAAGGCAACGAUGCAUAGCCGACCUGAGAGGGUGAUCCGCCACACUGGAACUGAGACACGGUCCAGACUCCUACGGGAGGCAGCAGUGGGGAAUCUUGCGCAAUGGGCGAAAGCCUGACGGAGCAACGCCGCGUGAGUGAUGAAGGUCUUCGGAUCGUAAAACUCUGUUAUUAGGGAAGAACAUAUGUGUAAGUAACUGUGCACAUCUUGACGGUACCUAAUCAGAAAGCCACGGCUAACUACGUG
rnacentral:rRNA from 1 species